AGACAACUUAUCUGUGAUUUUUGGGUGCCAACAACAAUGGACACGGUAUUGUCCACAUUUAUCAGAACGGAUUUGUUACUCGAGAUGCAGAUAAUAGAAAACAAUUCCUUGCCUAGUGGGACCAAAUAUUUUUCUGCUGAACUAAAGUGACUUUUUUUAUAUUAUAUCCAUGCAUGAAAUCCGUGGCUCCAGGAAUUCAAAGCAGUACUUUGCAUUCGCUCCUCAGGGCACAGAUGAGCACAGCUGAAACCUGUCCACACGGAUUAGCUUCCACCUUUGCUUCGUAUUAGAGCAAACGAGGCAGAAGCCACAACCACCUCUUGUUUCCACUCAGGUCAUCUCCCAGACUGUCCUGCUUCAUACAUCGCAGGAGGAACUCAAGAUUUCAAGCUCUGCGAGCGGCUGCCUGCAGGAGGAGCUCAAGAGUGAGGGAUGCUGCCAGCUUGGUCCCCAGCACAGACAGCGCUGUCCUGAGCCAGAAACCAAGGAGCAUCUGCAAGCAGCUGCCAUCCGGAGCCAGCAACAGCACUGGAGGACAGCCCUCGAGCCCAGGCUGCUGGGGCGCGCCACGAGUCCAGGCUCUCCUCCUGAACUGCUAACAAAUUUAUAACCAACUGCUGCAGAGCGGGCACAGAGGGAGAUCUGUAACACGUACUCACCGGCGGGUUACGCACACACGGCCCAAACUGCUGGGUGACAGUCAAGCACAAGUCCCAGAAUGUUUAACCUGCAUAAAGGGCUUUAAGUUUAAAAUGAAACGAAAUAAAAACAGCAUUUAACUGCGCAGACAGCUUGCUACCACCUCUGGUGGCCAAGCCAAAAGUAUUAGGUAGAGUUAACUUUGGCUGACACCGCAGCAUUUACUGUUUAAUUUCCUGAUACUUAAAAAAUAAUUUUUUAAAAAUAUCUGUAUCUUGAAUAUAUCUGUGUUACUGGGAACAGCUCCGUAUUUCUUUAACAACAGCUGUGUUUUUGAAUUCACAUUUCACAGAUUUUUCUGCUUCUGAACUCAACUCCAUACAGCAGCACCCACAGCAUCUUGGCAAAAACCUCCCUCCCUUGGACAAAUAUGUCACCAGACAUUGCUGGCAGUCUGUCCUCUCGCAGAUAACUUGCAUGCCAAGCUAAGAAUAGGAUUAGCUGCUUCUCUAGCUGCUUUGUCCAGGUGCCUGCAGAAGGCCUUUUGGCGUGGCAGCCCAGAUCCUCAGCAAGACUGCAGGACCAGGCCUCAUCUCUAGCAAGUUAUUAGGAAGUGUGUGUGGGUGUUUGGGUCAAACACAUCAAAAGUCAGUGCUAAGCAUCAGACUUUAGCUGCCUGGUGAUACCUGGCUCAUGUGACACACAAAAAAAACCUCCCCAGAUAUUUUAUUAUGGGACUUUCAAAGCAUUACAGCUUCCUCUGAACUAUCUGGCUUUAGCUGUCACCACACACACACACACAAAACAAAA